UUCAUUCAUUAUCUUGGAUUGUUUAUUCGCAUUACCUUAACAGGACCCUCAUUAAUAACCCCAGAAUGUUCAUCACCACUAGAAAGCUCUGAGUCUUCAUGAUGAACAAAAUCAGUGAGUGAACCUGAUUCGAAUUCUGAUUCAAUAUAGGGAAAUUUCUGGGGAGAAUUCUCCUCAGACAAGGAUUUCUCAUCAGGGGAGUCUACUACAACCACCAACUCUUCCUCCACAAAUUUUUUCAAUGCAUUUCCUACAUCUAAAAGAGACUGGAAGUACAAAACAUGAGCUGCAGCUAAAUCAUACCGAGAAUCCACUGCUCCUUUUAUCAGCUCCUUCCUCUCCCUACAAAAACUCACCAGUGGCGUAUUCUCCAUUCUUGAUACACCAACACCCAUACAACCAGAAUCAAAGCAAACCCAGAACACCCAAAAACCCAAUGAGAAAAACCCUAAAUUCGCUUCCUUGCUUGAACUAAAAAAACCUCCUUAUAUUAUUCAAUUUAACAGCAGAGUUCCCACAUUAGUAUUGGCUAGAUUAUUUGUUCAAUUUAGACAAAUGAUUACCCAAACAAGACUCUUAGAGAAUUGCAAGAAAAACCCAUGUAGGAGAGUAAAAGAAGAUACUGUAAAGAGACACAGAAAGGAGAGGAUACGAACAAUAAAUACACCGGAAAAUCCGGGAAUUUUCAUAGAUAAACGCAAAUAACGUGAAAAGAUUUUCAAAGUUAAACUCAUGAGCAAAUAAAGAGAUAAGUAUGAAACCCCCAUAAAGAUACAACCAGAUAUGCAAGCAUUGUAAUUCAAAUCUGACCGUUGAAAUCGCUGAUACUUGUCUAUGCAUGGAGGAGAGAGAGUGCGGGUAAUCAGUUGGCAUAAUGAAGGAAUCUAAAACUGAAGCUGAGACAAUUGGAUUUGAAUUCCUUCGGUUCUUGUUUUUUUCCAUGGUAGAGGGUUUUGGAUUUUUGUUUAGGCGCUAAAGAGUGUAGUAGUGAAAAAGGAGCCUUGGUUUUAGAGACUAAAACAAUGGUGGUUUUGAUCCUUCUUUUCCGUUUCGUUGCAGAGGAU
rnacentral:lncRNA from 1 species